GCCUAACACAUGCAAGUCGAACGGAGCCAUCUAAACAAUCCCUUCGGGGUGCGUUUGGGGAAGCUUAGUGGCGGACGGGUGAGUAACGCGUGAGUAACCUGCCUUUCAGAAGGGGAUAACGUUUCGAAAGGAACGCUAAUACCGCAUAACGUAUUUUUACCGCAUGAUAGAGAUACCAAAGAUUUAUCGCUGAAAGAUGGACUCGCGUCUGAUUAGCUAGUUGGAGGGGUAACGGCCCACCAAGGCGACGAUCAGUAGCCGAACUGAGAGGUUGAUCGGCCACAUUGGGACUGAGACACGGCCCAGACUCCUACGGGAGGCAGCAGUGGGGGAUAUUGCGCAAUGGGGGAAACCCUGACGCAGCAAUGCCGCGUGAAGGAAGAAGGUCUUCGGAUCGUAAACUUUUGUCUUCAGGGACGAUAAUGACGGUACCUGGGGAGGAAGCCACGGCUAACUACGUGCCAGCAGCCGCCGUAACAC
rnacentral:rRNA from 1 species